UCUCUUCAAUUCUCUUCAUUUUCAUCAGCUGAAAAACAGCCAUGGAAGAGGGUUCAAGCUGGUUUUCAUACUCUAGCUUCAUGGUUGAGUACUUUCGUUCAGUGGCUAAGACGAAUUGACGGAAAAGACCAUGGUUGGACCAUGGCAACAUGUGAAAUGUGAUUUCCAUAUAAGACCAUAGCUGGGCUAUGGUGUCGGAGAGAUGUGAUUAUAUGCUUCCGUAUAAGACUAUAUCUGGGAUAUGACAUCGGUGUGAUAUAUGCUACUGUAUAAGACCAUAUCUGGGAUAUGACAUCAGUGAGAUAUGCGAUUUGUGUAAGACCAUAGCUGGGCUAUGACAUCGAUAUGUGAUAUGUGAUUACGUGUAAGACCAUAGCUGGGCUAUGGCAUUGAUAUGUGAUCCGUGUAAGACCAUAGCUGGGCUAUGGCAUCGAUAUGUGAUAUGUGAUUCCGUGUAAGACCAUAGUUGAACUAUGACAUCGAGAAAACGAAGUACUCAAUUCCGUAAGACGUUCGCUAAUUUGACAAAGUUUAGUAAGUGUUACAUGGAACUAUGUAAUAUAAGGAAGUACGAGUUGAUAUGACAUGAGUAUAGAACUUGGUUGAUGAAUGAAUUCAUUUGUGAUUAUAUAA